GGGCUUAGAUGAUGGGUCUUA
rnacentral:siRNA from 1 species